rnacentral:rRNA from 1 species
CAGCAGCCGCGGGAAUACGGAGGGUGCAAGCGUUAAUCGGAAUUACUGGGCGUAAAGCGCACGCAGGCGGUUUGUUAAGUCAGAUGUGAAAUCCCCGAGCUUAACUUGGGAACUGCAUUUGAAACUGGCAAGCUAGAGUCUUGUAGAGGGGGGUAGAAUUCCAGGUGUAGCGGUGAAAUGCGUAGAGAUCUGGAGGAAUACCGGUGGCGAAGGCGGCCCCCUGGACAAAGACUGACGCUCAGGUGCGAAAGCGUGGGGAGCAAACAGGAUUAGAUACCCCUGUAGUCCCUGUCUCUUAUAA